UAGGGAAUCUUCCGCAAUGGACGCAAGUCUGACGGAGCAACGCCGCGUGAGUGAAGAAGGAUUUCGGUUCGUAAAACUCUGUUGUUAGAGAAGAACAGCGCAUAGAGUAACUGUUAUGCGUGUGACGGUAUCUAACCAGAAAGCCACGGCUAACUACGUGCCAGCAGCCGCGGUAAUACGUAGGUCCCGAGCGUUGUCCGGAUUUAUUGAGCGUAAAGCGAGCGCAGGCGGUUAGAAAAGUCUGAAGUGAAAGGCAGUGGCUCAACCAUUGUAGGCUUUGGAAACUGUUUAACUUGAGUGCAGAAGGGGAGAGUGGAAUUCCAUGUGUAGCGGUGAAAUGCGUAGAUAUAUGGAGGAACACCGGUGGCGAAAGCGGCUCUCUGGUCUGUAACUGACGCUGAGGCUCGAAAGCGUGGGGAGCGAACAGG
rnacentral:rRNA from 1 species